rnacentral:rRNA from 1 species
CAGUAGCCACGGGAAUACGUAGGUGGCAAGCGUUGUCCGGAAUUAUUGGGCGUAAAGGGCUCGCAGGCGGUUUCUUAAGUCUGAUGUGAAAGCCCCCGGCUCAACCGGGGAGGGUCAUUGGAAACUGGGAAACUUGAGUGCAGAAGAGGAGAGUGGAAUUCCACGUGUAGCGGUGAAAUGCGUAGAGAUGUGGAGGAACACCAGUGGCGAAGGCGACUCUCUGGUCUGUAACUGACGCUGAGGAGCGAAAGCGUGGGGAGCGAACAGGAUUAGAUACCCGCGUAGUCCCUGUCUCUUAUAA